rnacentral:rRNA from 1 species
AGAGUUUGAUUCUGGCUCAGGAUGAACGCUAGCGGCAGGCCUAAUACAUGCAAGUCGAGGGGCAGCAGGGGUAGCAAUACUCGCUGGCGACCGGCGCACGGGUGCGUAACACGUAUGCAACUUUCCUUCAACUGGAAGAUAGCCCGAAGAAAUUCGGAUUAAUAUUCCAUAGUUAUAUGAAAUGGCAUCAUUUUAUAUUUAAAGCUCAGGCGGUUGAAGAUGGGCAUGCGUUCGAUUAGCUAGUUGGUGAGGUAAUGGCUCACCAAGGCUACGAUCGAUAGGGGAUCUGAGAGGAUUAACCCCCACACUGUACUGAGACACGGACCAGACUCCUACGGGAGGCAGCAGUAAGGAAUAUUGGACAAUGGAGGCAACUCUGAUCCAGCCAUGCCGCGUGAAGGAUGAAGGUCCUAUGGAUUGUAAACUUCUUUUGAACGGGAGAAAACCUUCGGUCGUGUACCGAAGCUGAUAGUACCGCUAGAAUAGGGGUCGGCUAACUUCGUGCCAGCAGCCGCGGUAAUACGAAGGACCCGAGCGUUAUCCGGAUUUAUUGGGUUUAAAGGGUGCGUAGGCGGAAUGGUAAGUCAGUGGUGAAAUCUUGUGGCUUAACUGCAAAACUGCCAUUGAUACUGCCAAUCUUGAGUACAUUUGAUGUGGGCGGAAUGUGCCAUGUAGUGGUGAAAUACUUAGAUAUGGCACAGAACACCGAUCGCGAAGGCAGCUCACAAAACUGUUACUGACGCUGAGGCACGAAAGCGUGGGGAUCAAACAGGAUUAGAUACCCUGGUAGUCCACGCCUUAAACUAUGAUUACUCGACGUGUGCGAUACACAGUACGCGUCUAAGCGAAAGCGUUAAGUAAUCCACCUGGGGAGUACGGUCGCAAGAUUGAAACUCAAAGAAAUUGACGGGGGCCCGCACAAGCGGAGGAGCAUGUGGUUUAAUUCGAUGAUACGCGAGGAACCUUACCUGGGCUUGAAAGUUAGUGAAUGCUGUGGAAACAUGGCAGGCCGCAAGGACACGAAACUAGGUGCUGCAUGGCUGUCGUCAGCUCGUGCCGUGAGGUGUUGGGUUAAGUCCCGCAACGAGCGCAACCCCUAUCUUUAGUUGCCAGCGAGUAAUGUCGGGGACUCUAAAGAAACUGCCCGUGCAAACGGUGAGGAAGGUGGGGAUGACGUCAAGUCAGCACGGCCCUUACGUCCAGGGCUACACACGUGCUACAAUGGCGAGUACAAAGGGCAGCUACAUGGUGACAUGAUGCUAAUCUCUAAAACUCGUCUCAGUUCGGAUUGAAGUCUGCAAUUCGACUUCAUGAAGCUGGAUUCGCUAGUAAUCGAAUAUCAGCAAUGAUUCGGUGAAUACGUUCCCGGGCCUUGUACACACCGCCCGUCAAACAAUGGAAGCUGAGGGUACUUAAAGUCGAUAACCGCAAGGAGUCGCCUAGGGUAAAAUCGGUAACUGGUGUUAAGUCGUAACAAGGUA